rnacentral:rRNA from 1 species
AGAGUUUGAUCCUGGCUCAGGAUGAACGCUGGCGGCGUGCCUAAUACAUGCAAGUCGAACGAAACUUCUUUAUCACCGAGUGCUUGCACUCACCGAUGAAGAGUUGAGUGGCGAACGGGUGAGUAACACGUGGGCAACCUGCCCAAAAGAGGGGGAUAACACUUGGAAACAGGUGCUAAUACCGCAUAACCAUGGUUACCGCAUGGUAACUAUGUAAAAGGUGGCUAUGCUACCGCUUUUGGAUGGGCCCGCGGCGCAUUAGCUAGUUGGUGAGGUAAAGGCUUACCAAGGCAAUGAUGCGUAGCCGAACUGAGAGGUUGAUCGGCCACAUUGGGACUGAGACACGGCCCAAACUCCUACGGGAGGCAGCAGUAGGGAAUCUUCCACAAUGGGCGAAAGCCUGAUGGAGCAACGCCGCGUGGGUGAAGAAGGUCUUCGGAUCGUAAAACCCUGUUGUUAGAGAAGAAAGUGCGUGAGAGUAACUGUUCACGUUUCGACGGUAUCUAACCAGAAAGCCACGGCUAACUACGUGCCAGCAGCCGCGGUAAUACGUAGGUGGCAAGCGUUAUCCGGAUUUAUUGGGCGUAAAGGGAACGCAGGCGGUCUUUUAAGUCUGAUGUGAAAGCCUUCGGCUUAACCGGAGUAGUGCAUUGGAAACUGGGAGACUUGAGUG